rnacentral:lncRNA from 1 species
AUCUCGAUUUUUGUGCAUGUAAUCAAACAAGCGCUUUCUUUUUUGCUUUCCUCGGUGCCCAUGUGCAAAUAGGAGCCAAUUUUGAACUUGUUUUUCUUUCCUUUUCCUUUUCCUAAAAGUAAAGCCUUUCUUUGCUUCUCGGUCUACGUGUGUGAGAGCGAGAGAGGACAAAUUUUUGAUGCUAUAUAUUUUUUUUUAUUUCCAUGAGAGUGUG